rnacentral:rRNA from 1 species
GUCAAAUCAUCCAUGCCCCUUAUGAUUUGGGCUACACACUGUGCUACAAUGGCGUUAACAGAGGGAACGCGAAGGAGUGAUCCGGAUGCGAAUCCCAAAAACACGACGUCCCAGUUCGGACUGUAGUCUGCAACCCGACUACACGAAGUCUGGAAUCGCUAGUAAUCGCAAAUCAGCAUGCUGCGGUGAAUACGUUCCCGGUNUCUUGUACAC